rnacentral:rRNA from 1 species
UUUAGUGAACUUCGGGGAACGAUAACGGCGUCGAGCGGCGGACGGGUGAGUAAUGCCUAGGAAAUUGCCCUGAUGUGGGGGAUAACCAUUGGAAACGAUGGCUAAUACCGCAUGAUGCCUACGGGCCAAAGAGGGGGACCUUCGGGCCUCUCGCGUCAGGAUAUGCCUAGGUGGGAUUAGCUAGUUGGUGAGGUAAGGGCUCACCAAGGCGACGAUCCCUAGCUGGUCUGAGAGGAUGAUCAGCCACACUGGAACUGAGACACGGUCCAGACUCCUACGGGAGGCAGCAGUGGGGAAUAUUGCACAAUGGGCGCAAGCCUGAUGCAGCCAUGCCGCGUGUGUGAAGAAGGCCUUCGGGUUGUAAAGCACUUUCAGUCGUGAGGAAGGUGGUGUAGUUAAUAGCUGCAUUAUUUGACGUUAGCGACAGAAGAAGCACCGGCUAACUCCGUGCCAGCAGCCGCGGUAAUACGGAGGGUGCGAGCGUUAAUCGGAAUUACUGGGCGUAAAGCGCAUGCAGGUGGUUUGUUAAGUCAGAUGUGAAAGCCCGGGGCUCAACCUCGGAAUAGCAUUUGAAACUGGCAGACUAGAGUACUGUAGAGGGGGGUAGAAUUUCAGGUGUAGCGGUGAAAUGCGUAGAGAUCUGAAGGAAUACCGGUGGCGAAGGCGGCCCCCUGGACAGAUACUGACACUCAGAUGCGAAAGCGUGGGGAGCAAACAGGAUUAGAUACCCUGGUAGUCCACGCCGUAAACGAUGUCUACUUGGAGGUUGUGGCCUUGAGCCGUGGCUUUCGGAGCUAACGCGUUAAGUAGACCGCCUGGGGAGUACGGUCGCAAGAUUAAAACUCAAAUGAAUUGACGGGGGCCCGCACAAGCGGUGGAGCAUGUGGUUUAAUUCGAUGCAACGCGAAGAACCUUACCUACUCUUGACAUCCAGAGAACUUUCCAGAGAUGGAUUGGUGCCUUCGGGAACUCUGAGACAGGUGCUGCAUGGCUGUCGUCAGCUCGUGUUGUGAAAUGUUGGGUUAAGUCCCGCAACGAGCGCAACCCUUAUCCUUGUUUGCCAGCGAGUAAUGUCGGGAACUCCAGGGAGACUGCCGGUGAUAAACCGGAGGAAGGUGGGGACGACGUCAAGUCAUCAUGGCCCUUACGAGUAGGGCUACACACGUGCUACAAUGGCGCAUACAGAGGGCGGCCAACUUGCGAAAGUGAGCGAAUCCCAAAAAGUGCGUCGUAGUCCGGAUUGGAGUCUGCAACUCGACUCCAUGAAGUCGGAAUCGCUAGUAAUCGUGAGCAGCAUGCAGA